UUCACAUCCUCGCCAACAUCUGUUAUGUCUUGUGUUAAUUUUAGCCAUUCUGACAGCCCAGAGUCCAGCUGAUUUAACUUCCCCUUCACACCAACUGAGGAAAGGAGUUUGAUACAUGUGGCUUUUCAUGGAUGACAUCUUUACUCUAGAAAGAGUUGGGACAGAAAGAUAAGCAGGAAGCACAAAGUUCUGAAUUUGAAUAAAGGCAAUGCUUUUGUUGUUACAUCAAAGGAUGCAAGAUUAAAAAGAUAACUUGGAAAAUUCAUACAUGCCUAAAUCUAUCAUUUUAUUGUAUCAUCAGAGACAAAACUGGCUUGAGUGUGACAUAACUCUAAGCUACUUAGUUUAGUUCUGAUAAGUCAUCAUAAUGAAUAAUUUAAGAAUGCCAGAAACUUAAAAUCUCCACAUUGGAAGACAACUUAAGAUUUCAAAUAUGUGCUACUGAGGUGGGACCACCAUUAGAUAAGUGUUUUCUAACAUACUGAGUGACAAAGUAGAAAAUGAAGUAAAAUUGUUCCAAUAUUUCAACCAUUCCCCUUUAAGGAAUAUUCAGGGGGCUUUGCAGCCCUGUCCAUUUUCAAAGAAGCUAAAAACAAUGUAUUAAGUUUCAAGAACUGAAGAUCUCAACUCUGAAUAGCCUAUUCUGAAACUUUUGGUCCUCUAAUUUGGUGCCAGUCCUCCAGAAAUGCAAAUCUGACCGCAAAUCCAAGUAUUUAAGAUUCAAAAAACAUUAUCUUGAAUGAGAACUUUAUAGCAUGGGCUAAUAGAGACACGGAGUGAAACUGACCUUACAGUUAUCAGCUAUGGAAUUCUUUCUAUUUCACCUAAGCCCUGAAAUAAGUGAAAUACUUGAAGAGAAGAGAAAAUGUCACAUACCUUGCUUCGAGUUCCCAGAAGGUAGUAUCAUCAGACAGCCAUGGGUUAGAAGGGUCAGGUGGCACAAGAAAUGGGUCAUAUUCUAAAUAUUGUUCCGUGUAACUUAA